UCGGAGUGCCGGCGAGUGGCAAACGGGUGAGUAAUACAUCGGAACAUGCCCAGUAGUGGGGGAUAGCUCGGCGAAAGCCGAAUUAAUACCGCAUACGACCUUCGGGUGAAAGGGGGGGAUCUUCGGACCUCUCGCUAUUGGAGUGGCCGAUGCCUGAUUAGUUUGUUGGUGGGGCAAUGGCCUACCAAGACUGCGAUCAGUAGCUGGUCUGAGAGGACGAUCAGCCACACUGGGACUGAGACACGGCCCAGACUCCUACGGGAGGCAGCAGUGGGGAAUCUUGGACAAUGGGCGAAAGCCUGAUCCAGCAAUGCCGCGUGUGCGAUGAAGGCUUUCGGGUUGUAAAGCACUUUUGUCAGGGAAGAAAUGGUUCGGGCCAAUACCCCGAACUUCUGACGGUACCUGAAGAAUAAGCACCGGCUAACUACGUGCCAGCAGCCGCGGUAAUACGUAGGGUGCAAGCGUUAAUCGGAAUUACUGGGCGUAAAGCGUGCGCAGGCGGUUUACUAAGACAGGUGUGAAAUCCCCGGGCUUAACCUGGGAACUGCAUCUGUGACUAGUAGACUAGAGUUUGGCAGAGGGGGGUGGAAUUCCUGGUGU
rnacentral:rRNA from 1 species